rnacentral:tRNA from 1 species
GUUCAGUGGUAGAAUUCUCACCUUCCACGUGGGAGGCCUGGGUUCAAUUCCUGG